UACGUAGGGGGCUAGCGUUGUCCGGAAUCAUUGGGCGUAAAGAGCGCGUAGGCGGCUCGGUAAGUCCGCUGUAAAAGUCAAAGGCUUAACCUUUGAAUGUCAGUGGAAACUGCCGGGCUAGAGUCCGGAAGAGGCGAGUGGAAUUCCUGGUGUAGCGGUGGAAUGCGCAGAUAUCAGGAGGAACACCAACGGCGAAGGCAGCUCGCUGGGACGGUACUGACGCUGAGAAGCGAAAGCGUGGGGAGCGAACAGG
rnacentral:rRNA from 1 species